UGUUCCUGCUCGUGUCAAAACGUGCGUAACGACGUAAUUUGUUGUUUCCUACAAUCUACUUGAAUCUCAUGGAGAAGUGGGCUUGUAGAAGAAAGAAGGUUGGCGCUAGAAUUGCCAAUGCAUCCCUCUUUAUAAUUAUACGCUUCUAAUUCUGUCUCGAUGUUACAAUAAGAUUAAGGAUGGACAUGUCCAUCUCCAACAAUUUUUCUGUGAUUGUCUAUGUUAUGCCGUCCCCAAAUACGGAUAACGCCUAUUGUAAAUGUGUAAAGAUGAAUUAAUUAAUAUAAACUCCUGAGGAUGACUCACACACGAGAGUCGAAACGUCGCCAAUGAAUGCUGCGUUUGUUAAUGUCCUACAUAUCCAAGAUUUCAUUUGCGUAUCAAACCACG